GAACUGUUUGGUGCAUUUAUAGAGAGUCGUUUACCAGCCUAUUUAGAAGCUUUGUUAGUCGAGGUGACUUCUGAAGGGAAGCAGGUUGUCACCUGUUUAGUCAUCACAUCUCUGCCGAAGGGGACCACGAAGGGGACCACGGGGGUCAGCCUUCUUCUGUUGGCUCCUCAUGCCCGCCUCACAAUAGCACUGACGCAUGACAGAUGCAACUUAGUAGUGUCGGCAUCUCGAUGUGAGCCCCUCAAGGCCAGUGGCUGUCCCGGCCGCCCAUCUCCAGGGCCUGCCCCGCAGUGCCUAUGAACCCAGCGAGGCUCUGUGGUCCCGUGUGGUCCGCUCUGUCCUUGGAUGCUUCGGGUCCUUCUGGACCCCUCGGGAGUCUCUUGACGAAUGAGUCUAAAUGCAAUCCUUCCCGAUGUAAUUCCGACUGCAGUGUAUCAGCCAGGCCAGCCUGGAGGAAGGAAGGAAGGUUCUGGAUUCUGUUCUCUUGGCCAAACGUUGCCUGUUUCUGAAGCUCAGCCCUGCCCUCCCCCAAUCUAACUGAUGCCCGGAGAUGUGCAUACACCCGGAGGCCGUCCUAUUGUUGGACCCGCAGACAGUUGCCCACAGACAGUGAGCUGCGUGGGAUGAAGGUGCAGACAGUACGUGCUCAGCCCAGCUGUCGGGACUCCCCACCGUCUUCUAGUCCUGUCCCAUCUCUCCUGGAGACGAACAGAGCUUUAAAUUGUUUGCAGAUGUGCAUGGGAGGCUGGACAGUGCCACGGCCCUGCUCCCUGGAGGGAUUUCCACGUUACAUUCUGCAAAAGUGUGCUGCUAACGGCAAGCGCGUAUCGUGGUUAUUUUGUGGCGGGAAGUGCCUAAGUGCGUUGUCCCGUGUAUGAAAUCCCUAGUCCUCCCAUCUGCCCUGUGAGAUCUGCACAGGGAAGUAUUCUGGGAGGCAACGCGGGUUCGUGAAAUGACCACUGGUGGUGGACACAGGGUUCAAACACCAGCCAGAUGCUGAAUGUUGUGGGGCUCUGGCCUGGUUCCUGAGCAUCUCUGGCUUCUUCAUCCGCAAGAUGUAUCAUGGGUGAGUGUGUGUGUGUGUGUGUGUGUGUGUGGAUGAGAUCGUGACAGUUGUGUGCAUAGAUGGUGUAGAGGCCCUCAGUCUGAGCCUGCUGUGAGCCCAGGGGAAGAGGACUGUGCUGGAGACCCCAGACUAGACCUUUCUCUGCUCCAUGUGACAUUGGGGACCCUCCCAAGCCCUACCUUUCUGGAAAAGAGAGUUGCAGACAAGACUCAGAGUUGGCUACAUUGAUUUAUUGGAAACACAGAUCAAGACAGACAUGGGCACGGCAGAGGUGGAAGGGGGAGGAUUGGGGAGUGGGGUACCGCCAUCAGCUCCAGGGCAGCCUCGGGCCUCCGAGCCCCCUUCCUAUGGGCAUCAUAGGAACUUCUUUUUAGGGGUAGCCUUUCCUAGCACCAGCAACGGAGCUGAGGAAGAAGGGAUCACACACAGACAAGAGGCCGGGAGUGGGACAGAUCUUUCAAAGUGCCAGAGAAGUAGUCGAGGCCUUGCUCCCCCUGGACGCCGGGCGGGAGAGAGACCAGGCCCGAGGCUUGAGUUCGGGGGUCUAACAUCUGCGGCAGCUGCUGGCACAUGAGCCCACGCC